rnacentral:rRNA from 1 species
AGAGUUUGAUCAUGGCUCAGAGCGAACGCUGGCGGCAGGCUUAACACAUGCAAGUCGAGCGGGCGUAGCAAUACGUCAGCGGCAGACGGGUGAGUAACGCGUGGGAACGUACCUUUUGGUUCGGAACAACCCAGGGAAACUUGGACUAAUACCGGAUAAGCCCUUACGGGGAAAGAUUUAUCGCCGAAAGAUCGGCCCGCGUCUGAUUAGCUAGUUGGUGAGGUAACGGCUCACCAAGGCGACGAUCAGUAGCUGGUCUGAGAGGAUGAUCAGCCACAUUGGGACUGAGACACGGCCCAAACUCCUACGGGAGGCAGCAGUGGGGAAUAUUGGACAAUGGGCGCAAGCCUGAUCCAGCCAUGCCGCGUGAGUGAUGAAGGCCCUAGGGUUGUAAAGCUCUUUUGUGCGGGAAGAUAAUGACGGUACCGCAAGAAUAAGCCCCGGCUAACUUCGUGCCAGCAGCCGCGGUAAUACGAAGGGGGCUAGCGUUGCUCGGAAUCACUGGGCGUAAAGGGUGCGUAGGCGGGUCUUUAAGUCAGGGGUGAAAUCCUGGAGCUCAACUCCAGAACUGCCUUUGAUACUGAAGAUCUUGAGUUCGGGAGAGGUGAGUGGAACUGCGAGUGUAGAGGUGAAAUUCGUAGAUAUUCGCAAGAACACCAGUGGCGAAGGCGGCUCACUGGCCCGAUACUGACGCUGAGGCACGAAAGCGUGGGGAGCAAACAGGAUUAGAUACCCCUGUAGUCC